GCGCGGGGGCGGCCCCGGCUCCGCGAGAAGCGGCGGCAGCGAGGGCUGGAGGACCCGGGCUACGGGGCUCCGGGGCGUCUGGCCUGGUUGGGACUGAGCCCAUCCAGGGACUGGGACUCUGGGAUUCUGGUGUAGGUGGAUCCGGGGCAGGCUCAGGACCAAGUCCCUCUCCUUCCACCAAGGAGCGCCCAGAGGCCGGCGGGAGCUCCAGGUUCACCUCCUCCUCCUCCAGGAAAUCUCACUUCCAACUGGAUGUCUGGAUGAACUACUGAAAGCUGCUGAGUGUCCUGCAGCAGCUUGACUACCACACAAAUGAAUCCACUCAAAUGUUGGCAAGUGGAGCAGAGUCCCAGGACAGUUCAUGUCUUUCUGCAGAUCACAUUCUUAACCUCUAGAGAGCCUGGCAGGACCAGAGCCUUACCUUUCCCAGUCUGCAAUCUCUACAGGUACAGAAACACCCCCAGUUCAAGGAUCUUCACACCUGGAUUUAGGCCUACUCCUGCAACUACCCCAGAACCUGGAAUUUAUAUGUUCAACAUGGAGCCAUCCCAGCCAUGACAACAGAGAAUGUACCACUCUCACGUGAGUAAGAGGGGUAGGCAGUGCUCCUGUAUCACCAGCCCUUAAUGAGACCCUGAGGAAACCACAUCAUGGAGAUCAGCCCUUCUCUCCUGUAAGGAACUCAUCCUAUGAAAGAGCAAUUAGUGCCUGCAAGAGCUGUCUCUGGGACAGCGGUUCAUGUCUAUAUCUGCAGGGUAACACUCAUAGUCAUAUGCAGUCAUAUCCAUAGUCAUAUCGGGAGUCAGACUCCAGUUUGACUGAGUGAAUGGAGAAACUAAACAUUUAUUACUGAAUAAUAACAUUAAUAAACCAUCUUAAUGAUAAUAAUAAUAAACAUAUUGAUGAGUAUUAACAGGAAUGAUGAUGAUUAUUAUGAUACUAAUAUCCAUAAUUAAUAAUUUUAAUAUUGAUAAUAGUACUAACCCUGUGGACUUGGGACCUAAAGAGCAGUUUCCCCUUACAAUUAUCCCAUAUUUGGCCACAGGGGGUAAUAUCGAGUUCCAGAAGGCAAGGAUUAACAUUCAGAAAAAUAGGAAAAACAACCUGCAGGUAAGCAUGUGCACACAUGGGGACUCUAUGGAUAAAUACUAAAGUGACUCUUGUUCUGGAUCUCCAUGUUAACAAACAUGCACCAGCUUUCAGGAGGUAGGACAGCUGGCUGAUGGGGCAAGGCUUCUUGAGGACAUGGCAGGAGUCAGAAAUCACACAUGCUGCCCAGCAGCAGAGCUCAUGACAAGCAGUAAACCCCAGCGAAAGGACCUGGCUGCCCUUUCUGCCAUCUGCUCUCCCAUGACCUCUCUUGACUGGUACAUCUAGGCACUGGAGUAACCUUCACUGGCUAUAGGAGGGCAUAAUCCUCAGUAUUCUCCCACCUGCAAGAAAGACAAAAAUUAAUUGAAUACCAUGGCUUCUGGGUAUUCUUAGUGGGCUUGACAUAUUUUGCCUUUGCUUUAACAGGCCAGUUAUCCAGGCAGUGACUUUCAGUGCAGCUACAGUCACCUCUGGAAACCUGCGGAGACUUUAAAAAUUUCCAGAAGGUCAGGAAUUUUUGGAGACCUUUCUCAUGGCUACAUUGCCUGCAAAGGUGAAUCAAUAAGCUUCUGAACUGACUUAGAAAAUGUUGCAGAGACUCUUGUGAACAGAUAGACCCUCUCCUGCCACUCAGAUAGACGUAUCAGGGUCACACACACCUGAUUUAACAACAUGUCAUUAUCUCAGGUGGGCAACAGACAGCAAUUUAGGACCUAUCCCAGUGUGGAUGAAAGACAUUGAGUUGGCUUAGAAAAAUGUUACAUAGACUAGAUGGGGCAAGAAAGCCCAUUCUGGGUCUCAAAAGCCUGCACAUAGAGUUGCUGACACAUAAAGGGUAUGUAUAAAUUCUUUCUUAGCCCAUGAGAUCAGGAUGUACUUCAUCAGUAUACCAUGCUGGUAUAAAGAGAUUCUUGCCUCCAAAGGGACUCAGAAUAUUUCAGGGAACCUGUAUUAGUCCAUUUUUACACUGUUGUAAAGACACUACCCCACACUGGGUAAUUUACAAAGGGAAGGUGUUUAAUUAAUUCACAGUUCUGCAUCGCUGGGGAGGCCUCAGGAAACUUACAGUCAUGGUGGAAGGCAAGACAGAAGCAGGCACCUUUUUUCACAAGGUGGC
ensembl:lncRNA FAM66B family with sequence similarity 66 member B